GCCAGACUCCUACGGGAGGCAGCAGUGGGGGAUAUUGCACAAUGGGGGAAACCCUGAUGCAGCGACGCCGCGUGAGUGAAGAAGUAUUUCGGUAUGUAAAGCUCUAUCAGCAGGGAAGAAAAAAGACGGUACCUGACUAAGAAGCCCCGGCUAACUACGUGCCAGCAGCCGCGGUAAUACGUAGGGGGCAAGCGUUAUCCGGAUUUACUGGGUGUAAAGGGAGCGUAGACGGCAAUACAAGUCGGAAGUGAAAUACCCGGGCUCAACCUGGGAACUGCUUUGGAAACUGUAUGGCUGGAGUGCUGGAGAGGUAAGCGGAAUUCCUAGUGUAGCGGUGAAAUGCGUAGAUAUUAGGAGGAACACCAGUGGCGAAGGCGGCUUACUGGACAGUAACUGACGUUGAGGCUCGAAAGCGUGGGGAGCAAGCAGGAUUAGAUACCCCGGUAAUC
rnacentral:rRNA from 1 species